UAUAUGCCAAAAAGGAAAUUCUAACAACUAGAAAUAAUAAGGUAAAAAAAACAGGCGUGAAAUGUGGAAGUGGAAAUGUGGAAAUGGUGGGUGAAAUGUGGAAGUGGAAAUGUGGAAAUGGUGGAAGUGGUUGUACAAACAGGGGUGCACCAUCCAUUAUUAUAGCAGACUACAACUAUCUCCUAAACAUAAGGUAGCUGUUGCUAUUCUUCGGCAGACAUAGAGUAGUGGACACAUCAUUACCAAAUGAUAAGGUUGAAUUUAGGAAAAAAUGGAACCAAAAAAAAUAUAUGAAAACAUGAGAGAAUAGAGAGAAAGAUGGAAUAACAGAAUAGGAGAAAGAAGAGGUUUAAGGAUAGAAACAGUCACUCUAUUUCCAACAGUUCACGACUAUUUAUAAGCCAAAAGGAAAUACUAACAACUGGAAAUAAUAAGGGAAAUAAACCAGGCGUGAAAUGUGGAAAUGGAAAUGUGAAAGUGAAAAUGUGGAAGUGGUUGCACAAACAGGGGUGGUGCACCAUCCAUUAUUAUAGCAGACUACAACUAUCUCCUAAACAUAAGGUAGGUUGUUGCUAUUCUUCGUUUCUUCAAGAGACUAACAUGAACCACAUCGUGAAUUUGGGCUCCAAUAGGCAACUCGAGUUUAUAAGCGACAGGACCAACUUUGGCAAGUAUCUUAUAUGGACCGAAGAACCGUGGAGCAACUUUUACGGAGUUGUAGAACAUCACAGAUUUCUGCUAUACAAAAUCACCGACAUUAAAAUCAACUUCUUGGCGAUGUUGGUCGACCUGUGCGAGACCAUUAAGUUGCGUCAUAAGUCUUGAAGAAUCUCCUCACAGUGUUGCAAAAGAUCGUCUACCACUUGAAAUUUUGUUGUGCCAAGGACAUAUGAUGACAAAGCCAGUGGAGAUUGACCAUAAACUGCCUCAAAAGAAGAAACUUUAGUUGCCGAAUGCUUGGAAGUAUUGUAACUAUAUUCUGCCAAAGUGACCCAGUCAGUCAAGCCAUUGUUUCAAGCGCUCAUAGGUAAAGCACCUGAGAUAUUAUUCGAGUGUACGAUUAACAACCUCUGUUUGGCCAUCCGUUUGUGGAUGGUAACUUGAGCUCAUGCAAAGAGAUGUCCCUUGUAGCUGAAAUAAAGUCUUCCAGAAUGAGCUGAUGAAAAUGUUAUCACGAUCGCUAAUGAUGGAGGCUGGCAUGCCAUGAAAUCGAAAGACUUGGUCGAGAAAGGCUUUGGCCACAGUAAAGGCAGUAAAUGGAUGCUUCAUCAGGGUAAAUGUGCAUACUGGUGGAGGCAGUAAAUGGGUGUUUCAUCGGGGUAAAAUGUCCAUACUUCGUUAGACGAUCGACGACCACCAUGAUGAUAGUAAACCCAUGCGAUGGCGGUAAACCCUCCACGAAGUCCACGAAAAUGUCAGUCCAUAUUUUCUCUGGUAUCGGUAUAGGCUGGAGCAAACCAGAAGGAUGCAAUCAUUCGAACUUACAAUGCUGGAAGACAUCACAAGUUCUUAUGAAGUCUUUGACUAUUGUUCAGAUGUGAGGCCAAGUGAAGCUUGAGGCGAUGCGGCUCAGAGUUUUGUGAUAGUCAAAAUGUCCACCGACCAGCGAAGAUGUGUGCGGAUAAAAUAACAGGUAAUAAUGGGGAAAUAGAACUCAAAUAACUGCACCCUUUUUUAAACAGAACUCCAUCGCAUAAAGAGUAUUGCGGUUGGAGAUGUGAUGGCAUAGAGCUCAAUAACUUACUACAGAAGUGGUCGUUGGCUACCUUGGCUUGGCGAAUGGACCACCAAUCUGCAACAGAAAAAGACACGGCCAGAAACUCACAUCGUGAAUUUGGGCUCCAACAGGCAACUCGAGUUUAUAAGCGACGGGACCAACUUUGGCAAGUAUCUUAUAUGGACCAAAGAAUCGUGGAGAAAGUUUUACGGAGUUGCAGAACAUCAUAGAUUUCUGCCGAUAGUGUUGAAGCUUAAGAUAUACAAAAUCACCGACGUUAAAAUCAACUUCACGGCGAUGUUGGUCAGCCUGUGACUUCAUCUUUUCCCGCGAGACCAUUAAGUUGCAUCGUAAGUCACGAAGAAUCUUCUCACGGUGUUGCAAAAGAUCGUCUACCACUUGAAAUUUUGUUGUGCCAAGGACAUAUGAUGACAAAGCCAAUGGAGAUUAACCGUAAACUGCCUCAAAAGGGGAAACUUUAGGCGCCGAAUGCUUGGAAGUAUUGUAAAUAUAUUCUGCCAAAGUGACCCAAUCAAGCCAUUGUUUCAGUCGCUCAUAAGUAAAGCACCUGAGAUAUUGUUUGAGUGUACAAUUAACAACCUCUGUUUGGCCAUCCAUUUAUGAAUGUUAACUUGAGCUCAUGCAAAGAGAUGUCCCUUGUAGCUCAAAAAAGUCUUCCAAAAUGAGCUGAUGAAAAUUUUAUCACGAUCGCUAACGAUGGAGGCCAGCAUACCAUGAAGUUGAAAGACUUGGUCGAGAAAGGCUUUGGCCACGGUGGAGGUAGUAAAUGGGUGCUUCAUCGAGGUAAAAUGUGCAAACUUCGUUAGACGAUCGACGACCACCAUGAUGAUUGUAAACACAUGCAAUGGCAGUAAACCCUCCAUGAUGGAAAUGUCAAUCCAUAUUUUCUCUGGUAUCGGUACCGACUGGAGCAAAUCGACAAGACACAAGCAUUCGGACUUACAACGCUGGCAGACAUCACAAGUUCUUAUGAAGUCUUUGACUGUAGUUCGGAUGUGAGGCCAAGUGAAGCUGGCGGCAAUGCAGCUUAGAGUUUUGUGAUAGCCAAAAUGUCCACCGAACGGAGAAGAAUGGUGUGCGGAUAAAAUAGCAGGUAGCAAUGGGGAAGUAGCACUCAAAUAACUGCACCCUUUUUUAAAUAGAACUCCAUUGCAUAGAGAGAAUUGCAGUUGGAGAUGUGAUGGCAUGGAGCUCAAUAACUUACUGUAGAAGGGGUCGUUGGCCACCUCGGCUUGGAGUAUGGACCACCAAUUUGCAACAGGAAGAGACAUGGCCAGAAACACAAGUUCCCCACCUCGUGAGAGAGCAUUGGCCCCACAAUUGUCUUUCCCCUUCUUGUAUUAAAUAUGAUAGUCAUACCCGAGAAUCUUUGGUAACCACCAUGUUUGUGCCGGAGUGGUGAUGAGUUGCUCCAACAAGUAUUUCAAACUCCUUUGAUCAGUGCGGACAGUGAAGGGUUUCCCCAGCAAGUAUGGUCUCCAUCUCCGGAUGGCCUUAACAAUCGCGAGCAUUUCCUUCUCGUAUGUUGAUAAAGCUUGGGUUGUUGGCUUAAGAGUUUCACUGAAAUAGGCAAUGGGAUGACCUUCUUGGGAAAAAAUAGCUCCAAUGCCUCCCCCACAAGCAUCGCAUUCGACCACAAAUGGUUGUGAAAAUCUGGUAAGCGAAGAACUGGGGAAGACGUCAGGGCCUCCUUUAACUAAGAAAAUGUGGCUACAGCCUCGGAUGUCCAUUAGAAUCCUUCUCUGGACAUUAAGCGGUUGAGAGGUGCAACUAGCCUACUAAAGCCCCGAAUAAAUUUACAGUAGUAGCCGGCCAACCCAAGGAAACUGCGAAAACUCUUUCCUGAUGUUGGGGUAAGCCAUUCUAGCACUUAAUUAAUUUUCUCUGGAUUCACGGCCACACCUGUAAAGAAAAUAAUAUGUCCUAAAUAUGCCACCUGCGUAACACCAAAACAACAUUUAGAUUAUUUGGCGAACAAUUGAUUGUGGGAUAGGACGGGGAGGACUGCCUUAGGUGACCGAGGUGAUCGGCCCGACCUUUUUGUACACCAAGAUGUCAUCAAAAAAUACCAGGACAAACUUCCGCAAAUAGGGACGCAAUAAAUCAUUCAUUAGACUCUAAAAGGUGGAUGGGGCGUUGGUCAACCCAAAGGGCAUGACAAUGAAUUCAUAGUGAUCAUCAUGAGUGCAGGAGGCUGUUUUGAUGUCAGCCUCGUGAACACGUAUUUGAUGGUAGUCGGCACGCAAAUCAAGUUUGGAAAAAUACCUGGAUCUAUGUAAUUCAUCAAGAAGCUCAUCAAUGACUGGGAUCGGGUACUUAUCUUUGAUGGUAAUGUGCUUGAAAAGCUCGAUAGUCAACACAGAGCCACCAUCCUCCAUCUGCUAUUUUGACAAGUAAAACUGGUGAUGAAAAAGGACUUUUGCUAGGCCGGAUCAGCCCAAAGUUGAAGAAUUCCCACACCAUUUUUUCAAUCUUCGAUUUCUGAUAGUAGGGGUAUCGGUAUGGUUGUACACUCACCGAUUAUUGGUUUGGUUGUAGCAAAAUUUUAUGAUCAUGGGCACGGGUUGGUGGCAAGGAGUUUGGAGUAUCGAAGACAUGGGCAAACUCGUCGAGGAUGCUUGUAAGGUCGGCUGGGUGAGUCGUGGCUGGAGGAACCUCAACGCAUGGAGUAAUCUGGAGGAAUAAGGAAGAUCCUUCAAGGUGGCCGAUCCUUCAAGGUGUAGGAGUUCCUUGCCAUUCAAGGCGUCGGGGGCUGAGAGCUUAAGGCCCUGGAACAUAAAAGGUUUCCCUCUGUGUCAAAAGGACAUUGUUAGCUUACUAUAAUCCAAUUCAAUGGGACCUAGGGUGGCUAGCCACUGGACCCCCAAGACUGCUUGACAUGCUGCCACAGGUAAGAUGUAAAAAUUAGCCUAUACUAGAUGAUCUUGGAUUACCAAAGUGAGUCUCAAACAUCGUCCAAUUCAAUCAAUCUUGUCCCUGUUGGCCACCAUUACUUGUAGUUGUUAAUCUAAUGUAACGGGCAAGCCGAACUUAGUUACCACAACUUGAUCAAGAAAGUUGUGAGUGCUCCCUCCGUCGAUGAGAACAGCCACUGGUUUAUUCUGCAAUUUUCCCACCAUGCUUAGCGUCUGAGGGUGUGCUGCCCCCGCGAUCGCAUGAAAAGAAAUUUCAUUUAAUGGCGCGGACGCGUCCAGCUCUGCAUCUAAAUCCUGAUCAUUCAUGUGGGUGGGGAUGGAGGGUUCCUCAAUCAUAAACAAUUGUG
rnacentral:lncRNA from 1 species